GGGCCCGCACAAGCAGUGGAGUAUGUGGUUUAAUUCGAAGCAACGCGAAGAACCUUACCGGGGCUUGACAUCCUACUAACGAGGCAGAGAUGCGUUAGGUGCCCUUUUAGGGAAAGUAGAGACAGGUGGUGCAUGGUUGUCGUCAGCUCGUGUCGUGAGAUGUUGGGUUAAGUCCCGCAACGAGCGCAACCCUUACUGUUAGUUGCUACGUAAAGAGCACUCUAGCAGGACUGCCGUUGACAAAACGGAGGAAGGUGGGGACGACGUCAAAUCAUCAUGCCCCUUAUGUCCCGGGCUACACACGUACUACAAUGGCAGUCAUACAGAGGGAAGCAAGACCGCGAGGUGGAGCAAACCCCUAAAAGCUGUCUCAGUUCGGAUCGCAGGCUGCAACCCGCCUGCGUGAAGUCGGAAUUGCUAGUAAUCGCGAAUCAGCAUGUCGCGGUGAAUACGUUCCCGGGCCUU
rnacentral:rRNA from 1 species